GACGAACGCUGGCGGCGUGCUUAACACAUGCAAGUCGAACGGAAAGGCCCUGCUUUUGUGGGGUGCUCGAGUGGCGAACGGGUGAGUAACACGUGAGUAACCUGCCCUUGACUUUGGGAUAACUUCAGGAAACUGGGGCUAAUACCGGAUAGGAGCUCCUGCUGCAUGGUGGGGGUUGGAAAGUUUCGGCGGUUGGGGAUGGACUCGCGGCUUAUCAGCUUGUUGGUGGGGUAGUGGCUGACCAAGGCUUUGACGGGUAGCCGGCCUGAGAGGGUGAACGGCGACAUUGGGACUGAGAGACGGCCCAGACUGCUACGGGAGGCAGCAGUGGGGAAUCUUGCACAGUGGGCGGACGCCUGAUGCGGAAACGCCGCGUGCGGGAUGACGGCCUUCGGGUUGUAAACCGCUUUCGCCUGUGACGAAGCGUGAGUGACGGUAAUGGGUAAAGAAGCACCGGCUAACUACGUG
rnacentral:rRNA from 1 species